AAGCUUCCCCACUCGCUGGAGCCCCCUCCCCUAUCGGCCAGCACGACCUCCGAGGGCGCUCGCGGGCUCUCUUCCCCAGGUCCUUCCCGGAGGGGAGGGGAAUGUGAAGAGCAGCAACCUGCGCCUUGGAACCCGCAGAGCCCCCGCCAGCGCCCCGGAGUCUUCCGGGGCACUAGAAGAAGAGGAAGAGAGAGAAACAUCAGUGUGAGAGAAAUGAUUGGAUACCUCCCAUAUGUGCCCCAACUGUGGGAGGGGGGCAAGCUGAACCCACAACCUAGGCAUACUCCUCAGUUUCAAAGAGACAACACUCCAGAAUCCAAGGAGAAAGUAAUGUGCACUGAUCAAGGAAGGAUACCGAAC